rnacentral:misc_RNA from 1 species
GUGAAUCAUCGAAUUUUUGAACGCAAAUUGCACUCUCCUCGGAGAGUAGGCCUGUUUCAGGGUCAGCCUAUAAAAAAUCGACAUCGUUGUUGUUUCGCGGUGGCGUUCGUCGGGAUUUGGGUCAUAUUAAAUCUUUUGGUUUUAAGCGACUUAAAAUUUUCUUUUUGGUUCCAUGUACGUUUAUAAGAUUUAUUUUGUUACAUGUUUGAGGUAUAGAUUUUUAUUAGACGUGACAAUCAUAUCCACUCUCGCC